CCUACGGGGGGCAGCAGUGGGGAAUUUUGGACAAUGGGGGCAACCCUGAUCCAGCCAUGCCGCGUGCGGGAAGAAGGCCUUCGGGUUGUAAACCGCUUUUAGCCGGAAAGAAAAGGCGGAGGCUAAUACCCUCCGUUGUUGACGGUACCGGCGGAAUAAGCACCGGCUAACUACGUGCCAGCAGCCGCGGUAAUACGUAGGGUGCGAGCGUGAAUCGGAGUUACUGGGCGUAAAUCGUGCGCAGGCGGUUGAAAGCCCCGGGCUCAACCUGGGAACGGCAUUGGAAACUGGCGGACUGGAGUGCGGCAGAGGGGGGUGGAAUUCCGCGUGUAGCAGUGAAAUGCGUAGAGAUGCGGAGGAACACCGAUGGCGAAGGCAGCCCCCUGGGCCGACACUGACGCUCAGGCACGAAAGCGUGGGGAGCAAACAGGAUUAGAUACCCUAGUAGUC
rnacentral:rRNA from 1 species